rnacentral:lncRNA from 1 species
UUUCAGACUUUUAGAAAAAGAAAAUAUUAAAGACAAAGAUCUGUUGUAAUCAUUUGUAGAAUUAAGUAAUCCUACAUCAUCUAGUCCAAUCAGAAACAUGAUUUAUAAAUGAAACAUCCUUAUGCAUUUCUUUCUUAUAUCUAUCUAAACGUUUAUAUGAGUUUCUAAUUUAGAGAUGAAUUGUUACCUCAUCUGAAGAAUGCAUUUACUUCAAUAAAAUCAGAGGCUUCACAGAAAUUUUAUAAAGCAUGUUGAAUAGUGUCAUCUAGAUGCUAACAUGUUAUUCCUUCGUAGUAGCUACUUCACUAUAACUACUUCACAAGCCUCCUUUAUCAGUGAUAACACAUGAUCUUGACUUUGCCCUUAAUAGAUGUCUUAAAAAUAUGUUUCAUGAAUCAAUGAAAAAAAUGUCAUUUGUUAAGUAAAACAAAGCACCACAUUAUCUUUAUUUUCCCCAAUGAAAAACAUAGAAGGUAAUUAAGUGAAACUUUAGAAGCACGCACAUGCCAUAUGCAGACAUUUACAACCUAAUUUCCAUAAAUCACUGUUUAUACUCAAGGAGGUUUUGUUUUUAUUUUUUGUUAUUUGUUCGUUUAGUGUUAUUGAGUGAGGAACUCAAACAGUAUGUGUUAAAUUAAAACAAAUUGCAUAGGGGUAAGUGUAAAAUAUAAUUUAAAUAUAAUAUAUAUAGAAUGACUUGUUUUUAAAUUUACAAUUGUACAUCUAUGUAAUUCUUAAAAAUUUAUUGUUGGAAACUGUCUUCCCAAAUGAUACUCUUUCGAACACAGUUCCCUCUUAGGCUGAUAUGAAUUAUUUGGUGCUAGAAGAUGUGCCCUCUCUGCGUACUGUGAUGAUCAUCUUUCUUCCAGAUGUUCACACCAUCCCUCCUUACACAAAACAGCCCCAGGACAAGAACCUUGUCAGAGAUUUGGAAAGCUAAUAAAAUAUCCAGGCUCUGGUGCUUUCUACCAAUAGACUAAACCAAGUUGAAAUGGAUGGUCCCCAGGUCCCUUUUGUCUCUAGGAGCCUAUGCUUCUCUUUAACUCCAUCAUUAAAAUCUGUGCCUCGCAAUUUAUUGCCAACCCAAAAUUUGCAAUAUUGUCAUAGUCUGGGAUUCAUGAAUGGUCAUUGUAAAAGACAAAAUGUCUGAUGUCAUGAUUCAGCAGUUUACAUGUAUCUCAAAUUUAAUUUUCUGGAGUGAGUUUUAUCAUUUUAAUGUGGCAGAGAAUUACAUUGUAGGAAAUAUAAAACCAGUAUUGUUCACCUCCUUGGGGAGAACACAAUCAAAAAUAGGAAAUCAAGCCUACCUCUGAAACAUUUCAUUUGUUCAUUGAAGGUAAUAUAUUAAAAAAAAAAAACAAAAAAAAACAUACAAGCCUAGAAUUCAUAGAGAUCUGAGGCCUUAGCUCCUGGCAUACUAUCUUCUUUGUUUUCACAUUUGGGGACAGGACAAUUUACAUUUUGCAGGUCCAAUUUUACCUUUGGAAGAUGGAGAGUAUAAUAACCAUUCACUUUUGUGAUGUGAAGAAUGAUACAAAACGUCAGUGUGUGUCUGGCUCAUAAGAGGUUCUUAAAAUUUCAUCUUCUUUCUUUCAUUUGCAUUACAAAACAAAAAAAUUGAUUAAGACUAAGAAAACUUAGUAUAGGUGUUUGAAUAGACUUCCAUUUAUUCCUAACUCCUUAAAUGAUGCUUAAAUUUUUAAUCACAUUUACAAAGUCUUGCAUAACUCAUAGUAUUAUGGAAGAGUAGAGAAUGGAUUAAAUGUGGGCAAAAAUAGUUAAGAAUCUCAGGUGCAAUGCAUAUUGAAAAUUUAGAAGAAAUCUAU